rnacentral:rRNA from 1 species
AACGAACGCUGGCGGCAUGCCUAACACAUGCAAGUCGAACGAGACCUUCGGGUCUAGUGGCGCACGGGUGCGUAACGCGGGGGAACCUGCCCUUAUGUUCGGAAUAACUCCCCGAAAGGGGUGCACUUCCGGGAAAUGUUCUUCGGACCAAGGAUUUAUCGCCUUUGGAUGGGCCGGGGUUGGAUUAGCUAGUUGGUAGGGUAAAAGCCUACCAAGGUGACGACCCAUAGCUGGUCUGAGAGGAUGAUCAGCCACACUGGGACUGAGACACGGCCCAGACUCCUACGGGAGGCAGCAGUGGGGAAUAUUGGACAAUGGGCGAAAGCCUGAUCGAGCAAGGCUGGGUGAGUGAUGAAGGCCUUAGGGUUGUAAAGCUCUUUUACCCGGGAUGAUAAUGACAGUACCGGGAGAAUAAGCUCCGGCUAACUCCGUG